GUGGCGAACGGGUGAGUAACACGUGAGUAACCUGCCCUUGACUCUGGGAUAAGCGUUGGAAACGACGUCUAAUACCGGAUACGACCUUCGAAGGCAUCUUCUGAAGGUGGAAAGAAUUUUGGUCAAGGAUGGACUCGCGGCCUAUCAGCUAGUUGGUGAGGUAACGGCCCACCAAGGCGACGACGGGUAGCCGGCCUGAGAGGGUGACCGGCCACACUGGGACUGAGACACGGCCCAGACUCCUACGGGAGGCAGCAGUGGGGAAUAUUGCACAAUGGGCGAAAGCCUGAUGCAGCAACGCCGCGUGAGGGACGACGGCCUUCGGGUUGUAAACCUCUUUUAGUAGGGAAGAAGCGAAAGUGACGGUACCUGCAGAAAAAGCACCGGCUAACUACGUGCCAGCAGCCGCGGUAAUACGUAGGGUGCAAGCGUUAUCCGGAAUUAUUGGGCGUAAAGAGCUCGUAGGCGGUUUGUCGCGUCUGCUGUGAAAACUGGAGGCUCAACCUCCAGCCUGCAGUGGGUACGGGCAGACUAGAGUGCGGUAGGGGAGAUUGGAAUUCCUGGUGUAGCGGUGGAAUGCGCAGAUAUCAGGAGGAACACCGAUGGCGAAGGCAGAUCUCUGGGCCGUAACUGACGCUGAGGAGCGAAAGCAUGGGGAGCGAACAGGAUUAGAUACCCUGGUAGUCCAUGCCGUAAACGUUGGGAACUAGAUGUAGGGGCCAUUCCACGGUUUCUGUGUCGCAGCUAACGCAUUAAGUUCCCCGCCUGGGGAGUACGGCCGCAAGGCUAAACUCAAAGGAAUUGANGGGGCCCGCACAAGCGGCGGAGCAUGCGGAUUAAUUCGAUGCAACGCGAGACCUUACCA
rnacentral:rRNA from 1 species